GCCGGGCGUGGUGGCGCAUGCCUGUAAUCCCAGCUACUCAGGAGGCUGAGGCAGGAGAAUCGCUUGAACCCGGAUGUUGCAGUGAGCCGAGACUGCGUCACUGCACUCCAGCCUGGGUGACAGAGCGAGACUCUGUCUCAA
rnacentral:SRP_RNA from 1 species